rnacentral:rRNA from 1 species
CCUACGGGUGGCAGCAGUGAGGAAUAUUGGUCAAUGGACGAGAGUCUGAACCAGCCAAGUAGCGUGAAGGAUGACUGCCCUAUGGGUUGUAAACUUCUUUUAUAUGGGAAUAAAAUGUUCCACGUGUGGGCUUUUGUAUGUACCAUAUGAAUAAGGAUCGGCUAACUCCGUGCCAGCAGCCGCGGUACGACGGAGGAUCCGAGCGUUAUGCGGAUUUAUUGGGUUUAAAGGGAGCGUAGGUGGAUUGUUAAGUCAGAUGUGAAAGUUUGCGGCUUAACCGGAAAAUUGCAGUUGAAACUGGCAGUCUUGAGUACAGUAGAGGUGGGCGGAAUUCGAGGUGUAGCGGUGAAAUGCGUAGAGAUGACGAAGAACUCCGAUUGCGAAGGCAGUUCACUGGACUGCAACUGACACUGAGGUGCGAAAGUGUGGGGAUCAAACAGGAUUAGAUACCCGUGUAGUC